UUUCUCUUCAUUCUUUUCUUUCUCUUGUUUCUUUCUCUUUAUCAAGUUUCAGAAUAAUCAGUUCCUGUCUUAAUCUCUGAAAGUGUCCAGUGAGGCUUUUUAUUAACUCUUGGGUUGUCAUACAUUGGAUGUGUUUUAGUCAUUUAUUGGCAUUCUUCUCAGUCUUCGAAUUAUUCCAUCAUUGUCCAGAGGAAGCCCCUUUAAGAGGCCUCUGUGGCUAUGACAUGACCCAGUGGCCCAGUGGCCUUUGAGAGCCUCCUGACCUUUCAGCACAUUUCCUGCCCCCAACUCAGAAUCCACCAUUUCUCUAAGAAACUCUGCUUCCUUUAUGGGAAACUUUUUUUUUUUUUUUUGAGAUGGAGUCUCACUCUGUUGCCCAGGCUGGAGUGCAAUGGCGUGAUCGCAGCUUACUGCAAGCUCCGCCUCCCAGGUUCACGCCAUUCUCCUGCCUCAGCCUCCUGAGUAGCUGGGAUUACAGGCGCCCACCACCACGCCCAGCUAAUUUUUGUAUUUUUAGUAGAGACGGGGUUUCACCAUAUUGGCCAGGCUGAUCUUGAACUCCUGACCUCGUGAGCCACCGCGCCCGGCCAGAAGCAUUUUUUAGAGAAUACAAUCUAUGUUCCUAGGAGUGUUUAUUGUUAUUGGGUUGUCGCUGCUUCUAGGACUUUUGAGUGGGCAGACUUAGGAAAUUUUUGUUCGUUUUUUCUUUUAAGAGACAGGGUCUUGCUAUGUCACCCAGGCUGAAGUACAGUAGCAGUUCACAGACAGUCAUAGCUCUCUGCAGCCUCGAAAUCCUGGGCUCAAGCAACCCUCCCAUCUCAGUCACAUGAGUAGCUGGGACUACAGGCGUGCACCUCCACGACCAGCUCCCGGCUGUAUUUUUUGGAAAGAGAACAAUUACUUUAUUUUCUCUCUGGCAUCAGAUGGUAGACGCUACUAGUCCCAUUUUUGUUUGUUUGUUUUUUGAGAUGGAGUCUUGCUCUGUCGCCCAGGCUGGAGUGCAGUGGCACGAUCUUGGCUCACUGCAAGCUCCGCCUCCCGGGUUCACGCCAUUCUGCCUCAGCCUCCCUAGUAGCUGGGACUACAGGCGCCUGCCACCACGCCCAGCUAAUUUUUUCUAUUUUUUAGUAGAGACAGGGUUUCACCGUGUUGGCCACAAUGGUCUCCAUCUCCUGACCUCGUGAUCCGCCCGCCUCGGCCUCCCAGAGUGCUGGGAUUACAGGCAUGAGCCACCGCGCCCGACCCUACUAGUCCCAUUUUUUAGAUGAAGAAACUGUGACCCAGAGACGUUAAGUGACUUACCCAGGGUCCCACAGCUUGUGAAUGGUGGAGCUGGGAUUCACACACACAGCCAAUCUUGACCAUUUGCUGCUUUGGUGAGCAGGGCCAGCUGCCCCCACCCUCACUCCCUUCCCACCCACAGGACAGUGGGGGGUGGACGCCCAUCAUCUGGGCUGCAGAGCACAAGCACAUCGAGGUGAUCCGCAUGCUACUGACGCGGGGCGCCGACGUCACCCUCACUGACAAUGAGGAGAACAUCUGCCUGCACUGGGCCUCCUUCACGGGCAGCGCCGCCAUCGCCGAAGUCCUUCUGAAUGCGCGCUGUGACCUCCAUGCUGUCAACUACCAUGGGGACACCCCCCUGCACAUCGCAGCUCGGGAGAGCUACCAUGACUGCGUGCUGUUAUUCCUGUCACGUGGGGCCAACCCUGAGCUGCGGAACAAAGAGGGGGACACAGCAUGGGACCUGACUCCCGAGCGCUCCGACGUGUGGUUUGCGCUUCAACUCAACCGCAAGCUCCGACUUGGGGUGGGAAAUCGGGCCAUCCGCACAGAGAAGAUCAUCUGCCGGGACGUGGCUCGGGGCUAUGAGAACGUGCCCAUUCCCUGUGUCAACGGUGUGGAUGGGGAGCCCUGCCCUGAGGAUUACAAGUACAUCUCGGAGAACUGCGAGACGUCCACCAUGAACAUCGAUCGCAACAUCACUCACCUGCAGCACUGCACGUGUGUGGACGACUGCUCUAGCUCCAACUGCCUGUGCGGCCAGCUCAGCAUCCGGUGCUGGUAUGACAAGGAUGGGCGAUUGCUCCAGGAAUUUAACAAGAUUGAGCCCCCGCUGAUUUUCGAGUGUAACCAGGCGUGCUCAUGCUGGAGAAACUGCAAGAACCGGGUCGUACAGAGUGGCAUCAAGGUGCGGCUACAGCUCUACCGAACAGCCAAGAUGGGCUGGGGGGUCCGCGCCCUGCAGACCAUCCCACAGGGGACCUUCAUCUGCGAAUAUGUCGGGGAGCUGAUCUCUGAUGCUGAGGCUGAUGUGAGAGAGGAUGAUUCUUACCUCUUCGACUUAGACAACAAGGAUGGAGAGGUGUACUGCAUUGAUGCCCGUUACUAUGGCAACAUCAGCCGCUUCAUCAACCACCUGUGUGACCCCAACAUCAUUCCCGUCCGGGUCUUCAUGCUGCACCAAGACCUGCGAUUUCCACGCAUCGCCUUCUUCAGUUCCCGAGACAUCCGGACUGGGGAGGAGCUAGGGUUUGACUAUGGUGACCGCUUCUGGGACAUCAAAAGCAAAUAUUUCACCUGCCAAUGUGGCUCUGAGAAGUGCAAGCACUCAGCCGAAGCCAUUGCCCUGGAGCAGAGCCGUCUGGCCCGCCUGGACCCACACCCUGAGCUGCUGCCCGAGCUCAGCUCCCUGCCCCCUGUCAACACAUGAGAACGGACCACACCCUCUCUCCCCAGCAUGGAUGGCCACAGCUCAGCCGCCUCCUCUGCCACCAGCUGCUCGCAGCCCAUGCCUGGGGGUGCUGCCAUCUUCUCUCCCCACCACCCUUUCACACAUUCCUGACCAGAGAUCCCAGCCAGGCCCUGGAGGUCUGACAGCCCCUCCCUCCCAGAGCUGGUUCCUCCCUGGGAGGGCAACUUCAGGGCUGGCCACCCCCGUGUUCCCCAUCCUCAGUUGAAGCUUGAUGAAUUGAAGUCGGGCCUCUAUGCCAACUGGUUCCUUUUGUUCUCAAUAAAUGUUGGGUUUGGUAAUAAA
rnacentral:sRNA from 1 species